CCUACGGGGCGCAGCAGUGGGGAAUAUUGCACAAUGGGCGAAAGCCUGAUGCAGCGACGCCGCGUGAAGGAUGAAGUAUUUCGGUAUGUAAACUUCUAUCAGCAGGGAAGAAAAUGACGGUACCUGACUAAGAAGCCCCGGCUAACUACGUGCCAGCAGCCGCGGUAAUACGUAGGGGGCAAGCGUUAUCCGGAUUUACUGGGUGUAAAGGGAGCGUAGACGGCGAUGCAAGCCAGAUGUGAAAGCCCGGGGCUCAACCCCGGGACUGCAUUUGGAACUGUAUGGCUGGAGUGUCGGAGAGGCAA
rnacentral:rRNA from 1 species